rnacentral:rRNA from 1 species
AGUAAUGUCUGGGAAACUGCCUGAUGGAGGGGGAUAACUACUGGAAACGGUAGCUAAUACCGCAUAAUGUCGCAAGACCAAAGUGGGGGACCUUCGGACCUUGCACUAUCGGAUGAACCCAUAUGGGAUUAGCUAGUAGGUGGGGUAAAGGCUCACCUAGGCGACGAUCUCUAGCUGGUCUGAGAGGAUGAUCAGCCACACUGGGACUGAGACACGGCCCAG